CCGUCAGGCGUGUUCACUGGGAGUUCGGUCAUGCUGUAUGUGUGGUUUAUGUCACACUUACGACCGGUUGGUACCCUUAGACGGCAUGGGUAUUGCUUCUCCCAUGAUGUGGCUAUGUCAUACUCCUUUCAGCCAUCGGAGUGUAUAGAUGCUCUGUCCUGGGCCGCAUUUUUGGCAGAUAUCAGAGAUCCAUUUAGCAUAUUGCUGUGCUCGGGACUUUGCUCACCAUACAGCUUCAUUACUCAUGCUCAGGGCAUAGAUUUCCUCCCUCUGGCUGGCUUGAGGGGCGUGACUACUUAUCACCCAUUGGCCGUGAUGUCGCAGUUCGACUAGUUCCAGGAUUUUCAUCCUUUCGAGGGGGCGAUAGGUCAGCGUUCAGCUUCUCGAUAUCUCUCAGCAGAGGACCGAUCCCAUGUGUAUGCUUGUUGGGAUCAGCGUGAGAUAGCUUCUUUUUCUAUCAGUCAUCCCGGUUAUUCUGCAAAGUAUUCCGCAUAGAUGGAGACAGAGAUUUUAUCGGCUACAGCAGUAUCUGCAGAACCAGAUAUUGAGUCAGACGAUGCAGAGCCCAUGGAGGACAUUGAUACCUACAUCGAGGAGGAGCGCGCUGCUGGGUUGCCAGCAUUUCUUCC
rnacentral:lncRNA from 1 species